rnacentral:rRNA from 1 species
UGGGGAAUAUUGCACAAUGGGCGCAAGCCUGAUGCAGCCAUGCCGCGUGUGUGAAGAAGGCCUUCGGGUUGUAAAGCACUUUCAGCGAGGAGGAAGGUGGUGAGCUUAAUACGCUCAUCAAUUGACGUUACUCGCAGAAGAAGCACCGGCUAACUCCGUGCCAGCAGCCGCGGUAAUACGGAGGGUGCAAGCGUUAAUCGGAAUUACUGGGCGUAAAGCGCACGCAGGCGGUUUGUUAAGUCAGAUGUGAAAUCCCCGGGCUCAACCUGGGAACUGCAUUUGAAACUGGCAAGCUAGAGUCUCGUAGAGGGGGGUAGAAUUCCAGGUGUAGCGGUGAAAUGCGUAGAGAUCUGGAGGAAUACCGGUGGCGAAGGCGGCCCCCUGGACGAAGACUGACGCUCAGGUGCGAAAAGCGUGGGGAGCAAAACAGGAUUAGAUACCCUGGUAGUCCACGCUGUAAAACGAUGUCGAUUUUGGAGGUUGUGCCCCUUGAGGCGUGGCUUCCGGAGCUAACGCGUU